rnacentral:rRNA from 1 species
UGACCGGUCGUGUUCGUUCGUAGCUCCUCUGCUCCCAAUGUUAUAUCUACCGCGUACGGAGAGGGAAGAGCCGUCGAGUGGAUCUCGUGGAGGGGGCCUCUGCUGGCCGCCGGCCGCCGGCCCCCGGCCUCCUCCCUGGUCCGGUAAGUCCUGUCGACCACCGGCGACCUGCUCGCUGCUGAGUGUGUGCAGCGGCCCGAAGAGGCACGUCCAGCCCGGAUCUCGCAAGACAGCGAUAUCAGGUACAUGGGCAUGAGAUGAGAAUCACAAUUGUUGUGGAGGAAGCGAAGAAUGUCUUGUUACUUGGUUGUUGCCAUCCAUGUUCUUUUGGGUUGCACAAUGCAAUAAGCGUUUCUCUCCGCAACGAAUAUAUUAGAUCGAGCAUCAUGUCAUGUACACCAUAAGCUUUUGAUGUCUUCAUAGUCGAUGUCUACCAGUUCGAUCAUGCUUCUAUUUAUCAACUCAUUGAAGUAACCUUCUCCUAGCUCAAAUGGGACAAUUUUCUCGUUUACAUGAUACAUAAAACAUUCAGAUAUCCAUCUCCAUAUGAACUAGUCUCUCUUAAUUUUGUAAUCUUCUGGAUAUAUGCUUGCAUAUAAUAAAUGAUGUGAAGGUAGAGCAUAGAACAAUAACAUAAUCUUUAGUCUCAAGCAAGGUGGAGUAGACUAGAGAUAGAAUGCAAGAUGUGUCACAUACACAACAACAACAUGGAAAGUAGCAAAAAAUGGUAAAUGGAGCUCCUGACUUGUAGAUUAUGUCAAAGGGAUGAUCUAGAGUCAAGCUUCUUUUACUACCAGUUUUGAUCUACCUUAUCAUCUAGAAGAUUAGUUAUUAUAUCUAAGUAUGUUUUUAGAAGAUUAGAAGAUUAAGCAAAGUCACUUGAUAUGUAAAUGGAUAGCUGAAUGUUUUUUUAUCAUGAAAACAAGAGAUUAGCUUAUUUGAGAUCGGUGAUAGAGUUUCUCAAUGAGACCAUAAAUAGAAACAUGAUUGAACCAACAGACAUCAAUGUGACAAAGGCAUGAAAAAAAAAAUCUUAUCGUAUACAUGAUAUGGUGAUUGAUCCCAUAUGUUUUUGCCAAGUGAAGAAAACCGCUUGUAUGGCAUUCGGUGAAAGCCAUCUAUCCAAAGGCAAGAAUUGAAGAUGAUCCGUCCGAAAAAGCACGACAAAUAUGACCACCAUCAGAAAGAGCAACUAUUUCACAAGUGAGCUCUCUUUGCAAUAUUCAUGUGCUAUUGUCGAUUCAGUAUUGCUUAUGCUGAGUUUUCAUGUUCUACAUAUGUUAGAUUUAGAAUAUUGUGUUGCAUGCUUCCAUUCUUUCCAAUUGAGAUGGUGAGAUUCAAGAACAGUGCAUUUACCAUGGUGUUUUUAUUUGUCUUCUGCAACGACAUGAAGCUCUCAGUGUGGUUGUACCCUUUUAUGCAUGAAUACUAUUAUCACUUUUGUGAGAUUCAAUAACCACCAAGUUUUUGUACCGCCUCCUGCAUUUUGCUCACGAUGAACUUCCUUCUCCAUUUCUUUUUUUGUAAGAAAGAGUUUUGUACUUAUGAUUAUCUGGCAGGUUAAUUUUCGGUCAGCUCAAGAACCAUUAAGUUUGUAGGGUGCCCCCCUGCAUUUCGCCCUUAUGAACCAUUGGUUAUUAUGUACUGAUGUUUGGUUAGAUUGGUCUCCUGCAUUCUUCACUACACUCCUUUUUUGUAACAGCUGUAUUUUUCAUGCUGGUUUGAACAAAUUAACGGGGAAGUCAGCAGUGUCAUUUUGAUGUGGCGGCUUAGGACAUGUAUUGAGUACAUCUUUCUAUUGGGAAGCACUAGGAAUCGGACUACUGAUUCCUAGCCUCCAUCAGAUAGUGCGCUGCCGUUGGAU